rnacentral:rRNA from 1 species
UACGGGGGGGGCAAGCGUUGUUCGGAAUUACUGGGCGUAAAGGGCUCGUAGGCGGCCAUCUAAGUCGGACGUGAAAUCCCCGGGCUUAACCUGGGAACUGCAGUCGAGACUGUCUAGCUAGAGUAUGGGAGAGGGAAGUGGAAUUUCAGGUGUAGCGGUGAAAUGCGUAGAUAUCUGAAGGAACAUCAGUGGCGAAAGCGACUUCCCGGACCAAUACUGACGCUCAUGUGCGAAAGCGUGGGGAGCAAACAGG